GGGGGUAUAGCUCAGUGGUAGAGCAUUUGACUGCAGAUCAAAAGGCCCCAGUUCAGAUCCGGGUGCUCCCU